AUUCAUAUAAUAUAUUUAGUAUAUUUGACUUCCAAUCAAAAAGUUUAAUAAUUUUAAUAUGAAUA
rnacentral:tRNA from 1 species